UAUUGUUGGGGGUCAAGCAGCGAAGCUGUGAGACAACCAUUGUUAUUCUACGUUUUUCUAUCAUUAUUAUUAUUAUUAUUAUUAUUAUCAUAAUUUACCUGCCAUGGGAGUCUAUGGCAGCCCAUAGAACGCCUUGGGAGAAAAUUGUGUAAUUUGCAACACUAAUUUAGGACAGUCCCAUGAUCCCUCACAGCAAAUUUGGUCCAAUCUUCUCAAAACGAGGCACAGAUAAUCUACAGACCAUGCUUCACAAAAGUUAUCUAAUAGAUUUUUCAAAUUCAAAACUGUUUGCCCACGACUGCCAAUCACAUUCGACCGUGAAGCCGCCAAACAAUAAGUAAGCCAAUUUCUCAGCAGUCCUUAGACAUAUCGCUGUAAUGAAUGAAGUUGUGUUAUAACUCCUCUCUCUUCACAUGAAUAUAUUUCAAACUUAUUGUCAAUGUCUGGUGAUACUGUCAGACCUCCCCAUAUAGAUAAUCAAUUAUUUUUCAUGGAAACAUCAGAACUUGGCCGCUAUGUUGAAAGUUGGCAAAAUCAAUAGUACAUGUCCACAGGCCACAAAUUCGGUCCAAUCUUCAUGAAACUUGUCCGAUAUGAUCUUCAGCACAAGGUGAAAAAAUGCGUUAAACAGCUUUUUUAAAUUCCAAAAUGUUUGGCCGUGACAGUCAAUGGAACGUGAUGGCGAAGCCGCCAAACAGGAAGUGAGCCCAUUUCUCAGCAACUAUUUUAUCUAUCAUGCCAAACUUGCCCAACAGGAAAUAAGCCCAUUUCUCAUCAGACCUUAGACAUAUCAUAACGAAACUUGAUUCAAAGACCCAUGAUAUGACCUCAUCAUGCGAGUAGGGUCCAGCUGCAGCCCCGGAGAACAACACCCUGGCGUGACAACCACCCAGGCGCGACGGAAGUACUCUGGCGUGACGGAAGUGAUUUAUUUUUUAAACUUUAUUUUACACACCGCUGAAUCGGAAACCAAAGAUGAACCAUGGAAAGAUCUCGCAGAGCAGCUUGUUCCAGGAACUUGGUUGAAGAAGACUGGAUAUGAUAUCGCGGGACUUCCACCACAGCCAUAUGGGAACGACUGUGGGAUCUUCAUGAUUAUGUACGCUUGGUACCUUGCCAUGGAGGCACCAUUCGACCUCACUGUUAAAGACAUGCCAGUCCUCAGAAAAUGGUGGUGAACAGUACUGCUUGCGAACUUCCACCUGGAUCGGCACGGCAGAAGGUUCCCACACUUCAUGGAGGAGGCCAAACAAAUGGCGGCUUGACUACUUCCACCAGUCUUCAGACUGAAGUGAAAAAGAGAAGUGAAUGUCGACAAGCUGAACAAAUACGUCAAACAGCUUUUUUAAAUUCCAAACUGUUUGGCCGUGACAGUCAAAAAAACGUGAUGGCGAAGCCGCCAAACAGGAAUAAAGCCCAUUUCUCAGCA